GCGUCGACACCAGCAGCCGAUGCGUCCAGGUUGGAGAGGUGGGGCGGCAGGGCUCCACGCAUGGCGGAGCGCGCAAUUCUCCUGGGGUCAUCGGAAGCUCGAGACGGCGUGGUAAGGGCCUCCGAGGAAAGCGACGCCGAUGAGACCCUGGACCUGGAGCUGCACCUCUAGCAAGCGUCGCCUACCUGCUAGUGCCAUCUUGCAAAGGGGCUGUCGUCCAUCAAUUUCAACACUGAAGCCGAAGAAAUUAAUCUGUGUCGGCGAUCGGAGUUGAUCAUAUAUACAGCGACGUCGGCUACUCUUUGUACAUUUGUGUGUCCUUGCAAUCGACAUACUACUGCUCCUAGUCCUAGCUCCUAGAUUUGUGGUUUCAUGCCUUACUAUAUUGGUAUAUGCGAACGGAAACCGUAUGUACUGUAAUAGGUACACUCGUACGGCAUGUUUUUUUUAGCAAAGGGGUUUCACUCGUACGGCAUGUAAAACCAGCUCGAUCGUAAUACUCCACGAAUGAAUAUCACCUGUAGUGGUAGUACACUACAUGAAUGA